GUGCCAGCCGCCGCGGUAAUACGGGGGGUGCGAGCGUUGUCCGGAAUCACUGGGCGUAAAGGGCGCGUAGGUGGUUUGAUAAGGGUGUGGUGAAAGCCCGGGGCUCAACCCCGGGUCUGCCGUGCCGACUGUCAAACUCGAGGGCUGUAGAGGCAGACGGAAUUCCGGGUGUAGCGGUGGAAUGCGUAGAGAUCCGGAGGAAGACCGGUGGCGAAGGCGGUCUGCUGGGCAGUUUCUGACACUGAUGCGCGACAGCGUGGGGAGCAAACAGGAUUAGAUACCCGCGUAGUCC
rnacentral:rRNA from 1 species